AAAAACUGCGGUGUUUCCUCUCGCCAUCUGCUCAUUUCUGAAAAAUUUCCCUCUUUUAUCUGUCUGCAGAUUCAUCAAAUCCCUUAGGCCUGCCUUCAAUCUCUCUGUAGAUUCAGCAAAUCCCGCAGAAUUGCUCCUUUAUAUCGCAGGAUUGAAGGCGCUUGAGAAUUUCGGUGAUUGAAGCUGUUUGUAAUCAGUAAUUUUGAAUGAUCCAGGGUUUUUCGAGUUGGUGAUUGGGGAUUUCUAGGGUUUAUGGGAAGAGGUUGAAUUGGUGGUUAUUAGGGUUUUUGGGUAUGUGAGAAGCGGAAACGGUGAAAAUUCCCGGGAUUGAUGGUUGAAGCUAGGGUUUUUAGUUGUUUACAAAUUGGGAAAAAUGCAAAGGAGGGGUUUUUAUUAUGCAUGGGAGGGUUCAGACGGAAGGUGAGGGCAGUUGUAGAAGUUCACAAAGCAGUAGCAGUUGGCAUAUGCACCCAACUGUAAUUGCUGCGGAUUCAAAUUCGUUCUUUAAGGAUGGCCGCAAAAUCAGUGUUGGUGAUUGUGCACUUUUCAAACCUCCUCAGGAUUCUCCUCCUUUCAUUGGUUUAAUUCGCUGGUUGACUUCAAGGAAAGACAAUAACUUGCAUUUAGGAGUCAAUUGGCUUUAUCGACCGGCUGAGCUAAAGCUUGGAAAAGGCUCUCUGCUGGACAGUGCUCCGAACGAAAUCUUUUAUUCAUUUCACAAGGACGAGAUACCUGCUGCCUCAGUACUUCAUCCGUGUAAAGUUGCAUUUCUUCCUAGAGGUGCAGAACUUCCCUUCCCACAGUCCUCUUCUGUUUGCCGGCGCGUCUAUGACAUUGAGAACAAGUGUUUAUGGUGGCUAACAGAUCAAGAUUACAUUAAUGAGCUACAGGAAGAAGUAGACCAGCUCUUAUACAAAACAAGAUCAGAAAUGCAUGGUAUGUUGCAGCCUGGUGGUCGUUCUCCAAAACAAGUUAAUGGCCCGAAUUCAGUCUCCCAAUUGAAACCUGGGCCUGAUCAUGUUCAAAAUAGUGGGACUUCCUUUCCUUCCCAAGUUAAGGGAAAAAAGAGGGAAACAGGAGAUCAUACAGCUGAUCCUGUCAAACGGGAUCGUUCUUCAAGGACAGAAGAUGGUGAUUCUGCUCAGUACAAAGCUGAAAGUAGUUUGAAAUCUGAUAUUGCAAGAAUAACUGAAAAAGGAGGAGUCGUGGAUUUGGAAGGUGUUGAGAAGCUCAUCCAAUUAAUGCAAUCUGAUAGAGCGGAGAGAAAAAUGGAUUUGACUAGUCGUUUGAUGCUUGCUGGUGUAAUAGCUGCCACUGAGAAGGUUGAGUGCCUUCAGCGAUUUGUUCAGCUCAGGGGUUUACCUGUAUUGGAUGAGUGGCUCCAGGACAUCCAUAAAGGAAAAGUUGGCAGUGGUAAUAGUUCAAAGGAUUGUGAUAAAUCUGUUGAGGAAUUUCUUUUGGUUUUACUUCGUGCACUGGAUAAACUUCCAGUGAAUCUUCAUGCCCUUCAAAUGUGCAAUAUUGGCAGAUCUGUGAAUCAUCUACGUUCAAAUAAAAACAUGGAAAUUCAAAGGAAGGCACGGAGUUUAGUUGACACAUGGAAGAAAGGUGUUGAAGCAGAAAUGAUUAGUAUUGAUGCAAAGUCUGGUUCAACCCAAGGCACAUCUGUGUGGUCUUCAAAAUCACGCCUUACCGAGGCAUCCCAUGCUGUGAAAACUCCAAAUGGGUCUGAUGUUGCCAUGAAAAGCUCAAUUACCCAGCAGUCCGCAUCUAAAACUAUUUCAAUAAAGUCCUCGCAUGGGGAAAAUAUCACAAAAUCUGCAUCUUCAUCUCCUGGGCCAGUGAAGCCUGCAUCACCACAUACAUCUGGCAAGGAAAGCCAACCAGGAAUUUCUGUUGGUGGCAGUCCUGAUGCCCCUAUAACUAGGGAGGAUAGGAGCAGUAGUUCUAACCAGUCUCAUAGUUACAGUCAGUCAAUCUCUGUUAAGGAGGAGGGGAGGAGUUCCCCUACAGUUUCAGCCAUUGCUGGUAAGAUAUCAAGUAGUAGUUCUCGUAACCGAAAAGGCAGUGGUUUUCCAGUGGUAAAUGCAGGUCAGAAAGAAAACAGUUCAAGCAGAAGUUCUUUAGUGCACAGAAGUACUGCUUCAGAUAAGUUAUCGCAGUCUGCUUUAACAAGUGAAAGAGUCCUUGAUGGACCCACCAGUGAAGCUUGCAAUCAUAAGCUUGUUGUUAAGAUACCAAACCUGGUGCGAAGUCCCACACGAGGUGUCAGUGGUCUUGAUGACCCUUCUAUUAUGAGCAGCCAAACUUCUUCUCCCGGUCUUUCUGACAAAGUCGAGCAGCUUGACACGAUUCCAAAGGAGAAAAGUGAUGCAUCUCGAUCUGACAUCAAUUUGGAUUCUUGUCAAAGCAAUGACAGAAAGGAUGCAUCUCGUGAUGGUGCCGCAUCACCUGCAGGUGUUCCUGAUGAUGAGAAAAGUACGUCAAUUGUGGACUCCAGGAGAUUAUUAAUUGAAGGCCCGAAGAAGAAUGAUGUGAAGUCAACAAAGUUGCAUGAAGCUUCUUUCAGCCCCAUGAAUGCUUUAAUUGAGAGCUGCGCUAAAUAUUCUGAAGCACAUUCUUCAUUGUCCCUUGAGGAUGAUAUUGGAAUGAACUUACUUGCUAGUGUGGCAACUGGGGAAAUGUCCCGAUCUGAAUUGGUUUCACCAACUGAUUCAACAGAAAGAAGCACCCCUGCAGUCCAGGAAGUCUCCUUUAGUGCAAAAUCAAAGUCUUCACCUGAAGAUCAGGUUCAAGGAUGUCAAAGUCAGUUUGUGAAUGAUGCUGAAAGUGACGACAAGAAACAAGCUGCUUUAGAUAGUAGUUCAGGGUCUGAAGACAGUUCAAAUUUGCCUAAACAAGCAUCACUUAUGUGUUCUGUUGAUGUAAUUCGUGGUCCAGCCCAUACUUCUGCAGAUCUACCUGUUAAAGAGCGCAAUAAACCUCUUGACUCUGUCAGUUCAUUCUUGAGAAGCACCAUCGACCCUGUGUUCUCCACUACAGAGACGUCAAAUCAAGAUGCAGACACCAAUGACAAGAUAAGUGGUGGUGAGGGAAAUAAAGGAAUUCAGGAGGAAAAGGCCCCGUCAAAUGAUGUUAAUGCUGAUAGUAUACUAAAUUGUAAGGGUGAUGAAACUAAUGCUGCUGACACUGAGGACAAGGCUGGUAAAGAUCUUUUAGAUACAGACAACGUGAACUUAAUUGGUAAAGUUGCAUUGUUAAAUAAAUCGUGUGUUGAGGACUGCAAGCAUGAUGUAAAUGAAGGAUUGGAGAUGGGAACUAACUCUCAGCAGAACUUUACUACUGCAGAGAAAGCUAGUAAUGAAAAGCUGCAGCAAACUGCACCUGUCCAGAGCCUAGUGUCUGAAACUAGCAAUGAAGUCAAAGUUAGAGAAAUGGAUUCAAAGACUCCCAUGACUAAUGCUGAAAGAGAGAACUUUGGUUGGCCAGUUGACAGAAACACAGCUACAGAAGGUAAUAGUGUUGCUGAUUCGUUUCUUAGUAGUAAUGACCUCAAGCGUCGUGAUAUGGAGGUCAACAUUGAUAAGAAAGAGACUGCUGAUUGUUCACUCGCUGAGGGAGGAUUUCCUGUGCCUGUGGUCCAUGAAGCUCAGAAGAAUCAUGAGUUGAGAGGAUCGAAGACUGCUGGAGUUGAAGUGGAUGAAGCGGAGUCUGCUUCCACUGUUGGAGAGGCUUCUUCUGCUGCACCAGCAUCUGUUCAAGAUUCAAAAAUAAAGUUUGACUUAAAUGAAGGUCUCAUCUUUGAUGAUGGGAAAUAUGGCGAGCCUGUCAGUUUAAUAGCUACUGAUUCAACCAGUGGUCCGAUGAUUAACACUCUCCCAUUUUCUGUAGAUCCCAUCCCUAGUUGCCAUCCUGGUUCCAUUACGGUGGCUGCUGCUGCCAAAGGUCCCUUUGUUCCUCCAGCGGACUUAUUGAGAAGUAAAGUGGAACUCGGGUGGAAGGGGUCUGCUGCAACUAGCGCAUUUCGGCCAGCUGAACCCAGAAAAGUUAUUGAAAUGGCGUUGCCUUCCACAAGUUUGUCAUGUGAUGCUUCUACCAGCAAAAAUGGUCGCACUCUGUUGGACAUAGAUUUGAAUGUGCCAGAUGAAAGAGUUCUUGAGGAAAUUGCUUCUCGAGACUCUGCAUUGGCCCUUGGUAUGGCAAGUGAUUCCGUAAAUAAAUUCUCCACAUUGCUGAAAGAAAACUCAGGGUCUAUCCCAGUUCUUAGCUCCGGAGGACUGGAUCUGGAUUUGAAUAGAGUCGAUGAAGCAUCUGAGGUUGGCCAAUGCUCCAGCAGCAGCAACCGUAUUGGAGAGGGUUCCAGGGUGCAUGUGAAACCGUUAAGUGGUCUACCUACUACUGAUGUUCAGAGGGAUUUUGAUCUCAAUGAUGGGCCUGGGGUUGAUGAUGCUAGUAUGGAGCAUUUAUCGAUCAAUCAACAAGUCAGGGUUCAUAUACCAUCUCAGCUGCCUUCUGUUAGCCCUAGAAUGAGUAAUCCUGGGCUUGGGAGUUUCACAUCUUGGUUUCCCCCUGGGUAUACUAACUCAACUUUGGCAAUUCCAACAAUAAUCCCGGAUCGUGCUGACCAGCCCUUUCCAGUUAUUCCACCUGGAGCAGCACAGAGAACAUUUGGCCCUGCUGGUAUAGCUCAAUUCAAUCCUGAUGUUUACAGAGGAUCAGUCUUGUCAUCAUCUCCUGCAGUUUCAUUCCCAUCUAGUCCUUUCCAGUUCCCUGUGUUUCCAUUUGGGCCUAGUUUUCCUCUUCCAUCUGCCACUUUUCCUGUUGGAGCAACGUCAUAUGCUGAUUCCUCUUCAGGAGCAAAGCUGUUUGCUCCUCCUGUGAAUUCUCAGUUGUUGGGCUCAGUUGGUGCAAUCUCAUCCCAAUUUCAGAGACCUUAUAUGGUUAGUCUUCCGGACAGCAGCAGUAAUGGUGGGUUGGAGAAUAACAGAAAGUGGGGUAGACAGGGUCUAGACCUCAACGCAGGCCCUGGAGCCAUUGAAAGCGAAGUCAGGGAGGAUAUGUUGCCUCCACCGUCAAGUCAACAUUCAGUUGCCAGUUCACAAGCUCUAACAGAGGACCAAGCUAGGAUGUACUCAAUGUCAGGUAGUAUUUUGAAGAGGAAGGAGCCAGAUGGAGGGUGGGAUAAUGAAAGCUUCAGAUAUAAGCAGUCUUCAUGGCAGUAGGAACUGUAGACGGCUCCAUACUGCAGCAUUCUUGUAAGUCCUGAAAGGAAAAAUUCACCUAUACUUGACAUUUGUUAGCAAUUCUACUUAAUGCACAAUGGGACCUUCUCGUUCUCAAAUAUCACAGUUGAUCGUCGUUGUUGAAGUGAAAGGGAUAAGGCAUCCAACAUUAGGAGACUACAUAUGGCAAGAAUUGUGUAUAGAUUCACACCUGCCUAGAAGAUGUUUUUGGAGCAAUUACUGGAUCAUCAUCCUGCUGGGAUACUCCCUCAAUCCAUGGGUGGUUUAUCAAGUAGAUUUUUACAUGUCCGGUUCCCGAUGCUCAUCUCUUUUGGGCAUCAAACUAUAUGCUGAAGCAUUCAAUGUGUAUGCUUUACAAACUGUACUGGGAGGACAGAGAUCCUUAUCCACCUGUAUAUAUUUUAACUGCCGGAAAGCUCGAACAUCUGGCACCUGGAUACUGAAGAUGGAUGUGCAUAACAGUUUCUGCAACAUUUUCUGGCUAACCAUUCUGAGGAGGCUGGAUCUUGAAUUUAUAGAAGCCCUUCUGAAUUUGAACCUGCUGUUCAUCAUCCUUUGCUCUUUAUAAUUUCCUUAUUUCUCGCAAACAUAUUUAUAAGUAGAUUUCUACCGAGUUUUGAUACUAAGGCUUUUCAUCUCACAUGUUUUAGUUGUUAUGGCCUCUCUUGUAAGUUUUAGUUGGUCUUGACUGUCUUACUACCUUUGCAGGUUCAUUGCCUAAUGUUAAAUCCACAGCUCAAGAUCAGAUUCACAUAGCAAUGAUGAUAUAAUUGUUUUUAGGCCUUUUUAUGUGCAGACUAUACUUUUGUGUUUCCCCUGCAUUAUGGAGACGAACCUAUGUCCUUGGUCAA